UACGGAGGAUCCGAGCGUUAUCCGGAUUUAUCGGGUUUAAAGGGAGCGUAGGCGGGUUGUUAAGUCAGUUGUGAAAGUUUGCGGCUCAACCGUAAAAUUGCAGUUGAUACUGGCAUCCUUGAGUACAGUAGAGGUAGGCGGAAUUCGUGGUGUAGCGGUGAAAUGCUUAGAUAUCACGAAGAACUACGAUUGCGAAGGCAGCCUGCUGGACUGUAACUGACGCUGAUGCUCGAAAGUGUGGGUAUCAAACAGG
rnacentral:rRNA from 1 species